rnacentral:rRNA from 1 species
GAUGAACGCUGGCGGCGUGCCUAAUACAUGCCAGUCGAGCGAACGGACGAGAAGCUUGCUUUUCUGAUGUUAGCGGCGGACGGGUGAGUAACACGUGGAUAACCUACCUAUAAGACUGGGAUAACUUCGGGAAACCGGAGCUAAUACCGGAUAAUAUUUUGAACCGCAUGGUUCAAAAGUGAAAGACGGUCUUGCUGUCACUUAUAGAUGGAUCCGCGCUGCAUUAGCUGGUUGGUAAGGUAACGGCUUACCAAGGCGACGAUGCAUAGCCGACCGGAGGGGGGGGUGGGCGGCACGGGAGGGGAGCCGGGGUCGAGGGGCCGGCGGGAGGCAGCAGUAGGGAAUGUGCGGCAGUGGGGGAGAGGGUGGCGGAGCAGGGGGGGGGGAGUGAUGGGGGUGUUGGGAGCGGGAAGCUGGGUUGGGGGGGGGGAAGAGAUGUGUAAGGAGCUGUGGAGAUCGUGACGGUACCGGGUGAGGAAGCGACGGCUAACUACGUG